AGUAUUUUAAUUCGAGGUUACUUAGACUCCUAAUUCAAGCGUGGGGCUUUCCAGGGGCGAAAUACUAAUCGAAGCAACUAGUAGUUGAUUCACUUCGAAGUUUCUCACAGGACAACUGGUGCAUUUAAGAAUUAUGUAAAAUAAUCUUAUCUGGUAAAGCAAAUGAUAAGAGCCAUUAGGCGAAACUAUCUUAACCUAUUUCAAAAUUUUAAUUGGGUGCGAAUCUCGCCUUUCCUGGUACGAAAUAUGUGGUUGUAGUAUGGCAUGCCUAGUGGGCCACUUUUAAUAAGUAGAAAUGUCGUUGUGGGAUGAACCGAACGUAAUAUUAACAACUCAUGCAAAUGCCAUGAAGAGCGUUGGUUGCUUAAAGCAGCAGGACGGUAGGCGUGGAAGCCGCAAUCCGCUAAGAAGUGUGUAACAACCCACCUGUCACGAGGCAACUAAUCCUUACGAUGAACGCCGCUUAAAUUGUAGACUUAUACAUUACAACUAAACUACAUUUUUGGAAUUCAGUUUAUUAGAAAUUGUAAACUUAAAAACUUUAAAGUGUGUUAGUUUUUAAAGUGUUUUCAGUU
rnacentral:ncRNA from 1 species